AACGAACGCUGGCGGCAUGCCUAACACAUGCAAGUCGAACGAGAUCUUCGGGUCUAGUGGCGCACGGGUGCGUAACGCGUGGGAAUCUGCCCUUUGGUUCGGAAUAACAGUUGGAAACGACUGCUAAUACCGGAUGAUGACGAAAGUCCAAAGAUUUAUCGCCAGAGGAUGAGCCCGCGUAGGAUUAGGGAGUUGGUGUGGUCAAGGCAUACCAAGGCGACGAUCCUUAGCUGGUCUGAGAGGGUGAUCAGCCACACUGGGACAGAGACACGGCCCAGACUCCAACGGGAGGCAGCAGUGGGGAAGAUUGGACAGUGGGCGAAAGCCUGAUCCAGCAAUGCCGCGUGAGUGAUGAAGGCCUUAGGGUUGUAAAGGUCUUUUACCCGGGAUGAUAAUGACAGUACCGGGAGAAUAAGCUCCGGCUAACUCCGUGCCAGCCGCCGCCGUAA
rnacentral:rRNA from 1 species